rnacentral:lncRNA from 1 species
CUUCUAGGAGCAGUGCAGUGGAUUGUUAUAGGAAAGGAGGCUGGUGUUUGGGAAGACAGUUAUGUGUGAUUAAGAGGUGAAGGCAAUGGGUCAUGUAGUCCUUAAAUGCCAUCUAGAAUUUCAAAGAAGUGCUAUAUCCUUUCCAUGAUGUUUUAGACAGGAGUGCUCUGCCCACCUGGACUGAGGGAACAGCCCUGGCAAAGUCUCAAGACAGGUCAAGAAACUGGGGAAGGCAAUCAGCUCUUGCAUCGUCCACAUUGUUUCUGGAGCACAGCCUGGCUGAUCCUGGGGCUAGAGCUCAGAACCAGAUCCAGCUUAGAAAUAAUGUUUCACUCAAGAUAAGGCUUGUGGUUUAGGAGAUUCUGGUCUGGCCUGCCUCACUUUAAGACUUCUAUCAUCUCUUUUCAAAACCUGAGGAGGACCUCAUUUCCUGUUUGAUAGUUCUUCAUGCUUUGCCAGCCUCCGGGUCUUUAACGAAGCUUGCCAAGAAUUCCCGGCUGGGAAGGACAGCCUGAGUUCAUCAUAGAGAAUGAGCUGGCACCACAGUUGUAGUGACUCACCAACCUCAUUGCAACUUUGCAAUGGCAAGAACCACACUAUCUAAUUGAAAGACCUGUGUUUUAACAAAGUGCAAUUGGAUCACAUGGCAAAAUCCUCUCAAAAUAUGUCUCCAAUCUUUCCUUUCACUGGAUGUUUUGAACCCAAAGGAAAUUAUAUUCUGAAUUAUAUGUUUUUUUGUUUUUAAUUGAGAUUAAUUAACAGAUACUUGGUUUUAUGUCCAUUCCGUUCUAGGAAUUUAGUGGUGAUUACAAAGCAGUGAAAAUAGGUCACAGCAAAAUGAACAUUCCAGAUUAGGUUAAAGCAUUCCUCUGAAAUUUCAGUAUUCAUUUUUGGAGUGUCAGUUACUACAUUUC